rnacentral:rRNA from 1 species
CAUUAUUGAAAUAAACCUGAUGGGUUGCUGCUGGCUCUCUAGGGAGCAUGUGCACACUUGUCAUCUUUAUAUCUCCACCUGUGCACCUUUUGUAGAUCUGGAUAUCUUUCUGAAUGCCUGGCAUUCAGGUUUGAGGAUUGACUUUUGUCUUUCCUUACAUUUCCAGGCCUAUGUUUUCUUCAUAUACACCAUUUAUGUUAUAGAAUGUAAUGAAAAGGGCCUUUGUGCCUACAAACCUUAUACAACUUUCAGCAACGGAUCUCUUGGCUCUCGCAUCGAUGAAGAACGCAGCGAAAUGCGAUAAGUAAUGUGAAUUGCAGAAUUCAGUGAAUCAUCGAAUCUUUGAACGCACCUUGCGCUCCUUGGUAUUCCGAGGAGCAUGCCUGUUUGAGUGUCAUUAAUAUAUCAACCUCCUCAGGUUUUGACUUGUCGAGUGUUUGGAUGUGGGGGUCUUUUGCUGGUCUCUUUUGAGGUCGGCUCCCCUAAAAUGCAUUAGCGGAACAAUUUGUUGACCCGUUCAUUGGUGUGAUAACUAUCUACGCUUUUGUCGUGAAACAGGUUCAGCUUCUAACAGUCCAUUGACUUGGACAAAUUUUCAUUAAUGUG